CUACAUUGCAGGCACACGUACCCAAGCUUCUGAUGGCAUGUUCGUAAGCAAAGAGACUGUACUCCUUUCUGAGAUCUGCUGAGUCAUCCUGCUUGAAUUCAGGUAGAGGCAUCUAGCAAGAGGAAAAGUUCAGAAAGACAAAAGGCUGAUGAAUACAAAAGAAAAAGGCAUGUGCAUCAGAGUUCCUGAAUCACUGAAAAACUUACAAUGCAUAAGCAGACCCAGCUGCAAUAGUUUACGAAGACUCUCACUGAAGCAUAUAAUUAGAGGUUACACAAGGGCAGGUAACAUUUUAGAAACAGACUUUUUCUAUCACUUGCGAACCCACCAGACCAGUUUCCUUUGCUGCUGACACCACUUUUUGUGCAUGACAAAAAUGCAGAAUUCUUACAGCACUGGAGCAAGGGAGAGGAAGGCUGCUUCUUCCGAUGAAGGCAAUUUGGGAGCUAGCUACUCGCCUCCUCCCGAGUGAAAGAGAAAAGAAGAUUGUGCCAGUGGCAUCCCAAUGAAAAGGCAUAAUGACAAUGAGCUGGCACUGGGUAGAGCAGAGCUUGUUCCCUGGCACUGUUGCAUCUCAUCAAUCGCAUGCAUUUAAAACUCACACAUUAAACUAGAUGGACAAAGAUGAGGGGCCUGUAUAAAUCCCUCGGAGACUACGUGGAAGUGGGAAUGCCAGGGGAGAAAUUCUACUUCCUUUCUGAGUUUUUAAAAUAAUACCUGCCUUAAGUGACAGAAAUUGCAAGCGUAUCAGAACUAGACACUCAGGGUGAGAUUUCACAUGAUGCCUGCCCUGAUCUAACGCAAAUCUGUCAUUCUUUUUUGCUACAUAUUUUUCUGCUGGAUUAGUGAGCUAAACUGUCUUCAGGGUAGUGAAAAGAGUGGAGCAGAGGAGGAAGAAGAAAGGCAUCACCCCGUUUGGUUGGCAGCAAGUGAUUUGGUCUGUGAAAUGUCACUCCCAGCUCCAGAGCUGGGGAAAGGAUGAAGAAGCAGUGUCUAGGAGCAUACACACUUGCAGUGAGGGUCCCUCAAUCUACUGGUAGGGAAGAGGCAGAAGUGCACAACUGGCAGAGAGGGAGGGCUGAACGACACUUCCAGCAGCGCCUGCUUUGUAUCAACUUAGCUCUAAUGUCAGGCUCUACCUUCACUAUAACCAGCAUGCUUUGCAACCUUCUAACAUGUUCUACAAUGUAUUUACUAAAUACCUACAAAAUAAAUAGGUAUGAUAGAGCUGAAUUUGGGAACUUAUCAAGAAAACUUGUGGCAUAGUUAUGAUGAGUUAAAAUUGUGGGGCUGUAAAUGCAGGACCAUUUUCACUCAGCAUACUCCAGUACUAUCCUUUGUGAGCCAUCUUAUUUGCAGCAUUUCACCCUAGCUGGAGUUUUGAUUGGCAGUUAAGCUUUGUUCAUGUAAUUUGAUACAUUUUUUUGAAAGAUAUCUUAAAAAUAAAACGGUGUUUUCCGUUUCA
rnacentral:lncRNA from 1 species